GGGGGCUGCGAAUCUUAUCUGAUUUUCCAGAAAGGGGUUUGGAGCUGGACUACAGAGGCAGGGACAAUAACAGGAAGCGGCCAGAGGAACUGCUGGGCUGGGCUGGUCACUUUUGCCACUGGAGGGGCCUGAUUAUCCAGUGAGCAGCUCUGUGGGAGUUUAGACAGGUUCACAUGCAGCUGGAAACAGACACCGCUGACCUGAAACUGAGGAUAUAAAACGAUUCAUUUACUUUUCGAAUUGAGGAAGACUCCUGAAGAGACCCUGAAAUCCGAAAGUCUGAUUUGAAUGAUGCUUCCUGGACUAAUAGGAAGGAAAUUCCCAAGGAACACUGAUUACCCAUGGGAAGACAUUGAACUUAUCUGGAUGUGACAUUUUACUUAGGGAGAGAAAAACAAUUAUAAAUCCGUACACCAUCUGUCGUGCUUCUUUCUUGAAGCAGCACAGCAGCUACAGGUUAUUCUUAAAGUCUCCUCCCAUAUGCCACUGUAAGAAUAAUGUUUUAAGAGGUGCAGAAAUGAGUGCUAUGUCAUCAUACAAAGAAUGAAAGUUGGUGAUGUUAAUUAUUAAAGGUCAUGUAAAACAUAUCAGUUCAAGUCUAGAAAUAAUAUAAAACAUGCCAGCCGUAAGCUUUACAUUAUGCGACACAUAUACUUUGAAUCGAAAUAAAGAGAGGUGUAGCAGAUGAGUCAGAGGUGAGAACAGGUGCAGUGCACACACUUCAGACAGUUGCAUCUUUAACAGGUUUCUGGAACUUGUGACACAGAAGAUAUGUGAUAGAAAGGAGAGGAGAGUUGAUGUAUGUCAGGCUGAAUUUCCUAGAGAAGAGAGUAGGCAGAUUGCAGAUUGCUGGAAGCUGCUCCGUGAUUUAAACCUAUUUUAAUCUGAAACCCACACAUGGACACACACACACACACAGACAGACUUUCAAAUGACUGGUUUAAACUGCUGACUGAAUUAUCAAGAAAUUUAUAUUUAGUAACCAAUAAUUCAAAUAAAAUAAAAGAAGCAAAUCAGAAUCAAGAGUUGGAAUUUUUGAACGUUAAGGGAACAUUAUU
ensembl:lncRNA